rnacentral:rRNA from 1 species
AUUGAACGCUGGCGGCAGGCCUAACACAUGCAAGUCGAACGAGUGGCGGACGGGUGAGUAAUGUCUGGGAAACUGCCCGAUGGAGGGGGAUAACUACUGGAAACGGUAGCUAAUACCGCAUACCAUCGGAUGUGCCCCGAUGGGAUUAGCUAGUGGGUGGGGUAACGGCUCACCUAGGCGACGAUCCCUAGCUGGUGUGAGAGGAUGACCGGCCACACGGGAACGGAGACACGGUCCAGACGCCGACGGGAGGCAGCAGGGGGGAAUAUUGCACAAUGGGCGCAAGCCGGAUGCAGCCAUGCCGCGUGUAUGAAGAAGGCCUUCGGGUUGUAAAGUACUUUCAGCGAGGAGGCGUUACUCGCAGAAGAAGCACCGGCUAACGCCGUGCCAGCAGCCGCGGUAAUUC